rnacentral:lncRNA from 1 species
AUGAGCUGUUUGCAUUAGUUUAUCAAGCAAGCACAGCAGUGGACAUAGAUUAAUAGAUUGUGAUGCAGAAAAAAAAAGGAAAGUAGGUUAUUCUCUGUAGGGGAGUGGGUCUCUUCCCAGUGACCCCACCACUGCCUCUGGAAACAUUCUCUGCCAGAGCUGGAAAAGAUUCUCCUGCGUCCUUGCUUCGGAUUAGCCAAGCCUGAAGUUUGGAUCCUUCCCCUGGCUACCAGGAGCUGGGAAGUGGACUAUGAAGAAUCUCUCAUCUGCUGCUCGCUCAGCCUGUUUUCAGCAAUAUUAUCAGUCCUACACACCACAUCCAUUAUUUCAUGUGGCUUCUACCCUUUUACUCUGCUGCACAAAAAUAGGGAAAUCUCCUUUUUGUCCUUCAAACCUACCACAUGGUUUGGCUGCUUUUACCUGGUACACAUUUGAAUCAGGCCCAACUACAAUUGUGGGAGGUGAUAUCUGUUGA